rnacentral:tRNA from 1 species
GAAAGAGACCCGCCAGAUUGCUAACCUGGUCCACCAAAACUAAGACUUUGGCUCAUUCG